UCUAACGGAUAGUUUCAGCUUUUAAAGAAAUCUAUAAAAUAAUUAAUUUGAGAGAGAACUUACAAAGCUGGUGUCCCCAGGGGUUGUGCUCUCUGGCAGUGGCUCUCGAAGCAGAGUCCUCUGACUAGCAACAUCAGCAUCACCUUGUCAAAAAUGCAGAAGUUCAGAUCCCAUCCUAGACCUCCUCCACCAGAAAACUCUAAGGGUUAGCACUGAGGAAGGAUUAGAAGCAAGAAGAGGAACACAGCCUGAUGGUGUCUGAGAAACAAUGUAUAAAUUCAAAAGGUGGUGUAUGGCUGGAUGAUUUACUUAAUCCCAUUGUGAUUUAAGGCCUAUCAAGAGAUGAGAGAGUGUUUUAGACACUUGUU